AAUAGAUACCCGGGUAGUCCACGCCGUAAACGAUGAGUGCUAAGUGUUGGAGGGUUUCCGCCUUUCAGUGCUGCAGCUAACGCAUUAAGCACUCCGCCUGGGGAGUACGGUCGCAAGACUGAAACUCAAAGGAAUUGACGGGGGCCCGCACAAGCGGUGGAGCAUGUGGUUUAAUUCGAAGCAACGCGAAGAACCUUACCAGGUCUUGACAUCUCCUGACCGCCCUGGAGACAGGGUCUUCCCUUCGGGGACAGGAUGACAGGUGGUGCAUGGUUGUCGUCAGCUCGUGUCGUGAGAUGUUGGGUUAAGUCCCGCAACGAGCGCAACCCUUGGUUCUAGUUGCCAGCAUUCAGUUGGGCACUCUAGAGCGACUGCCGGCGACAAGUCGGAGGAAGGUGGGGAUGACGUCAAAUCAUCAUGCCCCUUAUGACCUGGGCUACACACGUGCUACAAUGGAUGGUACAAAGGGCAGACGAGCGGCGACGCAGUAACGCGAACUCCCGAAGAAACCUAUUCUCAGUUCGAUUGCG
rnacentral:rRNA from 1 species